UCUUCGAUGGUCUAACGGUAUGAUAUCCGCUUGUCAAGUCGCUUCGACGACACGGUGCGCGGGUGACCGGGGUUCGACUCCCCGUCGAAGAG